GGGUAGAGCAGUUGGUAGCUCGUCGGGCUCAUAACCCGGAGGUCGCAGGUUCAAAUCCUGUCCCC
rnacentral:tRNA from 2 species